CUCAGCCUCCCAAAGUGCUGGGAUUACAGGCAUGAGCCACCACGCCCGGCCAUCUUGUGAUUCUUUAGACCAUGGUCCGCUGUUCCAGCCCCAGGCUUAGCACAGGGAAUGGGAUGGAGGAGCUGGAAGACGCUUAUUGAAUGUUUGGUGAAAAAUGAAGUGGGGGAAAGCACAGGAGUGAGUUGGGGGGCGAGGGGUGGCUGUGAGGGAGCGUGACCUCCGCUCCCGGCCCUCCAGCGUCCAGGGACAGCGGCAGAAAGAGGAGAAGAGUGACCAGAGGGAGGGAGGGUGCAGCAGGCCUCUGAGCACGAAGACCCGUCUCCACAGGGGAGUGGAAGGAGUGCGUCUGCAUGUGGCCGAGGGCAUGCGAGGAUUGUGAGCGGCUUGGUGAUUCCCUCCCUCUCCCACUGCCACAGGAUGAGGCCACACGAGGCCUGGCAACAGCAGUGGCUCCAGCUGAAGAAAACCCUGGGUGGUCACACGGGCGUGAUGGCCAGCUGCGUUCCCUGUCCGUUUCUUUCCAGCAAACACUGUUUGCCCGAGUCAGGCUGGUGAGGACACAGAAGAGGGACCUGUUCUGUGUCUCAGGCAUUUCACACCUGUGGCGAUGCUGUGGCAGCUCUUACGUGGUUCUGUGGGUUCUGCUGGGUUCUGCUUCGGUGUGAAGCUCUGCAGAUGUGCAGAGGGGAUCAGCUCUGGUUUCUGAUCAAGCAGGAAAUCUCGCGUUCUCACUUAAAAAUGAAACUGGAAGACAGCACAACUUUAUAGCCAUGCUCCUAUGGCCAGACACGGGACAAAAAGAUUUGUAACAGAAAAAUAUGUGGUGAAAUGACAUUUCCUGUGUUUUUUUGGCUAACCAGUCAGAAAAGUUCCCAUGAGUGAGAGAGGGUUCCUAAGAAACACGCUCCUGUAUUUAUUGUAAAGUCUUCACGGAUCUCCAAGUUUCACAAACAGGAGACGAAACCAUGGCUGUGAAGAAGAACUUGGAAAUCCCAGACCACGAUGAAGACACAGUCCUACAGUCCCACAGGGUGACGUGUCCAAGCUUACAGUGUCAUUGCUUGUCUCAAGGAGCGUCAGGAGUUAAUGACGGGAACUUUUUGGUUUUAAUAAAGCUAUUACAAACAAGGUGGAUACGAACAAGUCUUCUGGUGCACAUGUGAAUGCAUUGCAGGUGGCUACCUGCCUAGCAGUGAAGCUGCUGGGUGUGAUAGAAUUCAUGCAUGCUCAGUGGUGUAAGGCACCAUCAAGAUGUUUCCCCAGUGGCUUUACUGAUUUACAUCCUCACCAGCGAAGGAUCAGAAUUCCAGCUGCUCCAAGUUUUUUUCAGCAUGUGACGUUGGCAGCAUUCAAGUGCAGGCAUUCUGGCAGUGAGGAGUGGGAUUCAGGUUCAUGUUAUUACUCAUACAUAGCUGACCCGGUGAUUGUCAGCUGAAGAAAGAGGAGGUUCAUACAUUUGGAAAGGAGGGCUUUGUUUCUUGUGAAGGGUGCAAGAGUGGCCGUUUUGACAGGCUGGGAAGUGUAGCCUCCAGUCAGAAGUUGGAAACAGACACUUCAUGGGUGGAAAAAAUAAGACAAAAAUUUAUUCAGAAUGGGACAUCCAAUGUACAUACUUGAUAAGCUACAAAAACCAUGAAUAUUUAUGAAAAAAAGAACGUGUACACGUGCACCUGAGCGUCUUGCUUCUCUGUGGAUCGAAUGAUCAAAAGCUGGCGGUGUUAGCGUGAUCUGAGGGUGGCGUUUUUGGCCCUCUGACUUCAGAAGCUGAUGCAGAGGAUAUGAAAACCCUCCCUGCACAUUCUCUGCAGAGUGCCAGAGCUACUCCAUGGCCAGUGGGCUACCAUCAGGAAGGAAUGCUGUUGGUUGUUGAGUCAAGAUCUUAGAAAGGGAGGGUGCGUGAUGAGGCCGGUGAGUCAGCAGCGGAGCAAAUCUCCAAAAGGGCUGGUUUCUGCUUCGCUCUUAGGGAAGGUAGACUCAUGGCGGCAGUGGGGGAGGGGUGCAAUGAGGCGCACCCUACCUCCCGUCCCAUCACAGCCAGGAACUCAGUUCAAGUGUUUCUGGGGUCCCCUUGGCCAAGAGGAGGGCCGUUCAGUCAGUAGGGGGCUGCAGAUUUCG